rnacentral:rRNA from 1 species
AGUGAACGCUGGCGGUAGGCCUAACACAUGCAAGUCGAACGGCAGCACAGUAAGAGCUUGCUCUUACGGGUGGCGAGUGGCGGACGGGUGAGGAAUACAUCGGAAUCUACUUUUUCGUGGGGGAUAACGUAGGGAAACUUACGCUAAUACCGCAUACGACCUACGGGUGAAAGCAGGGGAUCUUCGGACCUUGCGCGAUUGAAUGAGCCGAUGUCGGAUUAGCUAGUUGGCGGGGUAAAGGCCCACCAAGGCGACGAUGCGUAGCUGGUCUGAGAGGAUGGUCAGCCACACUGGAACUGAGACACGGUCCAGACUCCUAAGGGAGGCAGCAGUGGGGAAUAUUGGACCAUGGGCGGAAGCCUGAUCCAGCCAUACCGGGUGGGUGAAGAAGGCCUUCGGGUUGUAAAGCCCUUUUGUUGGGAAAGAAAAGCAGCAGGUUAAUACCCCGCUGUUCUGACGGUAACCAAAGAAUAAGCACCGGCUAACUUCGUG